GAAUAAGUUCAACACAUUUUAAUCCACUUCACUUUUGACAAUCAGUUCAAUAUUUUCAAUAUAUAAAUUCAAAUGUUAAAUGUUGUUUUCAACAACCUUAUUGUAAGUGGUCUAAAGCAAUUAAGCUGUUGAUUUAAAUUUUCAAAAGACUCAUUGUAAAUGGUCUUAUCACUACAAGAAAAGUUGGAUAUUGCAACAUAAUUCUGCAACUUUUAUUUUUUGUUAAGAAUAUGCAACAAUUUUUGCAAAUAUUUUGAAGCGAUGACCACACAUCACAAUUUUAUUGCAAAAUCAAACAAAAAUUGUUUGUUGCAAAUUAUAUUGCUAAUUUGCAAUAUGUUUUCUUACAUAUAAACAUAUGUUGUAAAUUUGUGAAAACUAUUCAACGAUAAUGAGUUGACGACGUUGUUUUGCGUUAAAAACAUGUGACAAGUAUGUAACAAUUUAGAAGAACUCUUAUGACAAGUGUGGCAAUUAUAUACUUUGGAUUUUGUAACUCUUAAUCAGAAGUUUUGGUUUUAUUUGGUUCAGGUGUUGAUAAAUACAUAUUAUAUAAAUUAAUUAAUUUUGGCUUGCUUUACUAUUAAUUUUUUUUAUUAAACCUAAGUAUGAUUUGAGAAUGAUGAAUGUUUUUGGUCUAGUUUAUAUCCAUUUGAUUCAGCUCAAUACAUAUUUUCAUAAUGAUUAGGGUUUGUGCAUAUCCACAACUGAGAAAAGAUUACGCAUAGCCUAUUUCCACGUUUGAUUUUCAUUCAAAUUAUUUUAAAUUUGUUCAAAUAUUCUAAUCAAACUAAUAACAACCUUCUUGAUAUUUCAGUUAUCUAACAAUUCAGAAUCUUCUUUAGAUAAGGACAAAUUUGGAUCAAAUAUUCUCACGAUUACUUUUUUUUUUUGAAUAUAUAAUCAACGAUUAGAUUUACGGUUGUACAUUUAUAUAUAUGCCAUUCUGCUUUCUAUGUCUCUUUAUUUAUUCCAAACUUUCUCUGGGAUACAAACAAAUACAUAGCCAAAAUCUCUAUCUUUUAAUAUAAGCCACACACAUACGUUUUUAUAUUUACUAUAGCAUUUUCAGUUUCACUAGACGAGUAUAAGGAUCAGGCGCGUGUUUGUUGGUGUAUGUUCUCAGAUCAAGAUAAAACACAAACCUGUGUUUUAGCUUUUACUUGAGUCAGAUUAUUUCAGUUAAUUUGAUGUAUGUUUAGCAGUCAAAAAGUCUGUGAGAUCUGAUGGUAGAUGUGUUUGAGUGGAAAAAUACCAGUCAUUCUAAUCAAUGGUGGAUUUUCUGAUAUCUUUAGAAAAGAUCUUCCAAGAGCAGCAUUCAUCAAAAAGGAUAGAGAAGCUUGAAGAAAUAGAGCAAAUAAUGAAAAGUAUUUUGUCCUCACAAUAGCUGGGUGUAAAAACUAAUCUCUCAUUUUUGUAUUUUAUAUUUAUUAAGUAAAAGUGAUUAUAAUUUGUUGGGUGGUUUCGUCUUUGAUUGUUUAAUAUGGUUAUUUUAGUUGUU